UGAGGAAUAUUGGUCAAUGGGCGGGAGCCUGAACCAGCCAAGUCGCGUGAGGGAAGACGGUCCUAUGGAUUGUAAACCUCUUUAGGCGGGGAGCAAUGCCGGGCACGUGUGCCCGGAGGGAGAGUACCCGCAGAAUAAGCAUCGGCUAACUCCGUGCCAGCAGCCGCGGUAAUACGGAGGAUGCGAGCGUUAUCCGGAUUUAUUGGGUUUAAAGGGUGCGUAGGCGGAUUUUUAAGUCAGCGGUAAAAUGUCCGGGCUCAACCCGGGCCGGCCGUUGAAACUGGGGAUCUUGAGUGGGCGAGAAGUAUGCGGAAUGCGUGGUGUAGCGGUGAAAUGCAUAGAUAUCACGCAGAACUCCGAUUGCGAAGGCAGCAUACCGGCGCCCGACUGACGCUGAGGCACGAAAGCGUGGGGAUCGAACA
rnacentral:rRNA from 1 species